UAUAUGAAACAUAUUAUUUAAAAUUAUAUUGUGUUAUAUAUCUAAAAAAUAUUAUACAAAUUAGUAUUAUAUAUUAUGCAGAUGUAUGAUAAUUAGUUAGAAUAUUCUUCAAUCUGCCAAUCCGCCAAAAACCGCCCAAACCGCAAAUUGUCAAUCUGCUAAUCCGCCAACCCGCCAUUCGGUUUGUAAUUUUACUCUCAAAUCGCCCGAACCGCACUGUGCACACCCCUAAUCAAAAUUAAGAUUGUACUAAUUUCAAAAUUGCAACACAAAAAUGAUUGGAUUUAUUUCUUUUUGGUUAGUUAUUUCUGACUACCACUUUUUCUUGUCAAUUUUUUUUUUUGGGUUGUGUCGAAAAUAUAUUUAAGCUCCACAAUCUGUGCGACUGCCUAUUAUGUGGACUUCAUCUUUCUCUUUACUAUUAGAUAGUUUUAUUAACACCUAGGUUUUAAUCAAUGAUGGCUUAAUAAGUGGGAUGAUAAUUACAAAUUGAUGUUAAUGUCUACCUUUGAAAAUGUCUGCCCAAGCAUUCAGCAGUAUUGGGUGUUGUGAUUCGAACUAAAAAGAUAGAAUGUUUACACAGGCAGUUGCAGACAGAUUAAGAGGUGAUUUCAUCAUGUUUGGGUGCUUUUAUUAAAUUCAAUUGCUGCUUUAUGUACACAUGCUUCUUCAUUGCAGAUUGUUUUGUUUAGUACUUUGUGUCGUUAGAUGAGACUGUGCAACCACUGAAAAAAGGAGACAAGAGGUGCACCUGGCAGUAACAAAUACCUCCAACAAUAUCAAUCUGCAUAAAAUUUGGUUGGAGUAUACGAAAGAAAUAUAACUGGAACAAGGUUGUUUUUUGGGCAAACAGAAACAUUUUGGCCAUUUCAAUGGAAACAAAAUUAGAUUUUGUUCCUUGCUUCUAAAAAUGGUCCUUAUAUUGAAGUUUUAUUCUGCAACCAUGAGACAGUGGGCGUCAAUAUUGAAAACCAACUGCGGACAAUGGGUGCCGAUAUGAAACAACUCUGUCAAAAUUCAUGCAUGAUGUGAUGCCUUCAUUUUCACUAGAUUUCAUGGAAGGGGUAGCUCCUGAAUUAUCUCCUCAACAAAAUUAAAAUGUUAAUCUCACAACUCAUGAAAGCUCAAUGAUUGGUGUUGACAUUGACCCUAAGAAGGGACUUUGCAACAAAAACUCUUUGGCCCAUCAAUAUUGUAUAGAACCCAUGGAAGAGAAACAUAAUGAUUUAUUGUCGAAGAAAAAGGAUGAUAUUGGUACGAGUGAAAAGUGAAAUGUGAGUGUAGUGAAAAAUGACACAGCGAAGAAACCGUUCCCAAUCGAGAUUCUAGUAGUAGUUGAUACUGCAGAGAAAGAUUCAAGCUUGGCAUCAUUAUUUUGCUGAGUCAAACAAUCUGAUGAUGAAAGAUGGGAUGAUCAAGAGGAUUUGUCAACACCAGUAUCACUAGAUGGAUAUCACUCUUGUGUGAAGGAAGCAGAAACGACUAACCAUGUAAAUGCCACAGCUGACAAGUCAAAUGUCCUGCCAUCAGCUAAUUCAGUUAUUUUAGUUGAGUCCUGCCAAUGUAGAGUUUCAUAUACUGUACUUACUUCAGGGGAUGCUUUCUCAGCAAUAUCAAAUGAUUCUGUUGGCUUGGGAUAGAGCUAUCCAAUAAAGUUUUUGAAUCAGAAGAUUAUGUUUCCAUUAGAAUCUGGUAACUUGUUAUUUCUGUUUUUUCUCAUGUAUUUUGAUUUUUGUUUUUUGAAAUAUUGGAGCCCAAGAUAAUUGUGCCGAGAGGGGGGGCUAUGAAUAGGCCAAUUUCAAGAAUUAUCUCAAGAUUACCCAAUUAAUUUUGAUGAUUCAAAUAAAAUUGUGAUCACAUUGGAAAAUCCAAAUAACUUCGAGAUGGUAGACACAUCAAUUAACUUGGAGACCCUCCAGGAAAACUCUCCAAGAGGGGAAAGCCAUGGUCCCAAUACUCAGCAAAAUCUACUACAGGACACACAGGAAGGAUUAUAACCAAACCUUGGUUAACCCUAUCUCUGAAGUCUUGACAUGCUCCACAAGCACAACCUUGCCCAGUUCGCCUCGUUUGACUUGAUUGAAUAGCACAAAGCUUCAUUCCUCGACCUUCAUACACCGACAACUUUGUUAACCCAACGACCAGGAGUGAGAGGACAAUGCAAUGCAGGAUUUUUUAAGGUUUUUGUUUUUGAUCACUCACUCAUUGUAGUGAUGAGUUUGUAGAAGUUGACAGAAGUUUGGAAUUAAGUUUAGGUGAGGGGACUAUGAAGCCUCAUUACAAGCGACCAUUUUCAGAGUAGCAUUACAUGGGGCCCAAUUAUGGUUACAAAAUUAGUGGUUUUAGGUAUUAUACCUAAACAAAAUUAGUUAGCUUAGACCUGGUAAUUAUUCAAUAUUCCACUAGCGUUUCGUGUUGUUGAUUCAAGAAAUAGAAACAUUUUGGCCAUUUCAAUGGAAACAAAAUGAGAUUUUGUUCCUUGCUCCUAAAAUGGUUCUUAUGUUGAUGUUUGAUCCUACAAUCAGGAGGUAUUUGUCCAAACUUUGAUAGACCCAUUUAUGCAAAUCAUUUUGUUGUUUUGCUGCUCAUUUUCAAUUGUUUGUUUAAUUAACCCAAAGCCGCUUGGGUGCUUGCUUGCUGAUUUUAUUCUUCGGGUAAUAUAUAUUGUAAACUUCUUUUAGGUUCUAUGAAGCUUCAUUUUUUUCUCACGUCAGAAGAUUUCAUUAUGGAAAACUUGACCUUCUUUUAUUAUUGAAUGAUUAAUUGUUGAGCAUUUGAUUGGAUUGAGAUAUAUUUUUCACUUGAUCAAUUUAACUUGGGUUGUGGAUUUAGUGCCCCCUUUUUUUUUUACCCCCCCUCAAAAGUAACUUCUCUUGCAUUACAAAAAUCGUUCCUUCCAAUCAAAUAAAGCUGUAGAUAAUUGAUAGUACCAACAAAAAAAGAAAAGAGAAACUAGUACUCAAAAUCAAUGAGGGAAUAGAUUGCUAAAAAAAAAAAAAAA